rnacentral:tRNA from 1 species
GCCGGCGUAGCUCAGGGGUAGAGCAGUUGAUUCGUAAUCAACGGGUCGGAGGUUCAAAUCCUCUCGCCGGCUCCA